AGAGUUUGAUCAUGGCUCAGGAUGAACGCUAGCUACAGGCUUAACACAUGCAAGUCGAGGGGAAACGACAUCGAAAGCUUGCUUUUGAUGGGCGUCGACCGGCGCACGGGUGAGUAACGCGUAUCCAACCUGCCCACCACUUGGGGAUAACCUUGCGAAAGUAAGACUAAUACCCAAUGACGUCUCUAGAGGACAUCUGAAAGAGAUUAAAGAUUUAUCGGUGAUGGAUGGGGAUGCGUCUGAUUAGCUUGUUGGCGGGGUAACGGCCACAAGGCGACGAUCAGUAGGGUUCUGAGAGGAAGGUCCCCANAUUGGAACUGAGACACGGUCCAAACUCCGUACGGGAGGCCA
rnacentral:rRNA from 1 species